GGACCCGCACAAGUAGUGGAGCAUGUGGUUUAAUUCGAAGAUACGCGCAGAACCUUACCAACACUUGACAUGUUCGUCGCGACUUUAAGAGAUUAAAAGUUUUCGGUUCGGCCGGACGAAACACAGGUGCUGCAUGGCUGUCGUCAGCUCGUGUCGUGAGAUGUUGGGUUAAGUCCCGCAACGAGCGCAACCCUCACUUUUAGUUGCCAUCAUUUAGUGGGCACUCUGAAAGAACUGCCAGUGAUAAGCUGGAGGAAGGUGGGGAUGACGUCAAGUCCUCAUGGCCCUUACGUGUUGGGCUACACACGUGCUACAAUGGUAUCUACAACAGGAAGCAAGACGCGACGUU
rnacentral:rRNA from 1 species